ACUCACCCCCUGCACUCUUGUCAGCGGACUCCUUCCCUUUCAUCACUGGGCCAAACGACAGUGCAUACAUACCAGACACAUCUUGUGACUGCUGAUCAACAUCACGACGAUAACGUCUGGAACAUGAAGUACUUCGCGCACAGGUGGAGUUGUAGUCAUACCUAUGACACACCACCAGGUCACAGUGUAGGUAGACAAAGCGAUGUUCUGACAGGAAGCGGAAUGCCUGCAUGCUAAAACGCUGGACAGAACUCAUUCCGUAUGAGUAAUGACGAAUCGUUUCAUCUUUAUCGCAAC
rnacentral:lncRNA from 1 species